rnacentral:rRNA from 1 species
CAAUAGCGUAUAUUAAAGUUGUUGCGGUUAAAAAGCUCGUAGUUGGAUUUCAGCGGACAGGGGGCGGUUCGAUAUUUGUCGCUACUGCCCCAUUUGUCCGUGUUUUUGGCGGAGGUUUCAGGGUGCUCUUCACCGAGUGUCCUGGGAUGCCGUCCGGUUUACUUUGAAAAAAUUAGAGUGCUCAAAGCAGGCUUUACACGCUUGAAUAUUCGUGCAUGGAAUAAUGGAAUAGGACGUCGUUUCUAUUUUGUUGGUUUUCGGAAAUCGACGUAAUGAUUAACAGGGACAGUCGGGGGCAUUAGUAUUCAGACGACAGAGGUGAAAUUCUUGGAUUUAUGAAAGACGAACUUCUGCGAAAGCAUUUACCAAAGAUGUUUUCAUUAA